GCUUGGCCAGCUGAAGGUUUGAGACUCAGGAUGGGGUCAUGGCUGAGACUAUGAGGGCUGCUCGUGCAUGACCCUGCCUGCUGGCCUCCAUGGGCCCACUAUCUGAAUGUGGUUACCCUUCUCCCCAGGACCAGGUGCCACCUCCUCUGGGAAGCUUUCCCUGCCCGUCCACAGGGUAUGCCUCCUUGUUCCUCUCCUGCCAUCGGUUUACGUGCCUGUCUCCAUCAACAGACCAGGAGCUCCUGAGGACAGGGACUGAGUCUGCCUGAUUCAUCUCUGCAUUCCUAGCACUUACCUUGGUGCUUAGUGAAAGCUCGAACCUGCCUGGGUUCCCACCUUGUCUCUGCUACCCCCAGCUCUGUGAACUCAGAGUCAUUUUUCUCUCCCCGAGUGGCACCGGGCUCAGCAGACACUCUGGCCAUGAAGGCAUCUUCUGACUCAAGCAGGCUGGAGUGCAAUGGCGUGAUCUCGGCUCACUGCAACCUCUGCCUCCCAGGUUCAAGCAAUUCUCCUGCCUCAGCCUCCCGAGUAGCUGGGAUUAUAGGCAUGCACCACCACGCCCAGAGCCAACUACUAAGCCUGUAGCAGCCUCCCAAACUGCCCAGUCUUGUUCAGAUGCACCUCCAGAAACACAGGGGUCCAAAAUGCCCCUUCCCAGACACCCUGAGGAGUAGAACAGUGCCAGCAGGCUCCAGGGAUGAGGGACUAGCUACCACAUUCCCUUUCCCAAGCCUCAGUUUCCCCACCUGUAAGAUGAGGGAUAUGGGCUCUGACUUUCUGAGUUUGGAAAAUAAAGUGCUCCCCAAACUGGG
rnacentral:lncRNA from 1 species